AGUGAACGCUGGCGGCAGGCCUAACACAUGCAAGUCGAGCGGCAGCGCGUCCGACCACCCCCCGGGUGGUCGGAUGGCGGCGAGCGGCGGACGGGUGAGGAAUGCAUCGGAAUCUGCCUCGUUGUGGGGGAUAACGUAGGGAAACUUACGCUAAUACCGCAUACGACCUACGGGUGAAAGUGGGGGACCUUCGGGCCUCACGCGAUGAGAUGAGCCGAUGCCGGAUUAGCUAGUUGGCGGGGUAAAGGCCCACCAAGGCGACGAUCCGUAGCUGGUCUGAGAGGAUGAUCAGCCACACUGGAACUGAGACACGGUCCAGACUCCUACGGGAGGCAGCAGUGGGGAAUAUUGGACAAUGGGGGCAACCCUGAUCCAGCCAUGCCGCGUGUGUGAAG
rnacentral:rRNA from 1 species